GUAAAGAGAAUUUAGGGGCUACACUUUC
rnacentral:piRNA from 1 species